CAGCAGCCACGGGAAUACGGAGGGGGCUAGCGUUGUUCGGAAUUACUGGGCGUAAAGCGUACGUAGGCGGCUUUGUAAGUUAGAGGUGAAAGCCUGGUGCUCAACACCAGAACUGCCUUUAAGACUGCAUCGCUUGAACGUCGGAGAGGUGAGUGGAAUUCCGAGUGUAGAGGUGAAAUUUGUAGAUAUUCGGAAGAACACCAGUGGCGAAGGCGGCUCACUGGACGACUGUUGACGCUGAGGUACGAAAGCGUGGGGAGCAAACAGGAUUAGAUACCCCUGUAGUCCCUGUCUCUUAUAC
rnacentral:rRNA from 1 species